rnacentral:lncRNA from 1 species
GCCAGGCCACGUUCGGGGGCCGAAUGUGCCUCCGUAUCCAUGCAAUGUUCGGCGGCCGAACAUGAGGUUCGGCGGCCGAACCUGCAAUUCCCUCACUCAUGCUUUCGGGGGCCUAACGUGCCUCCUAAUCACAUGCAUGUUCGGCGGCCGAACUUGUCUUUCGACGGCCGACCUGAGUUUUCCUCCAAUGCUAUUUUCAUGCAAAAACUUAUUUAAAAUCAUACUUAAAAACAUUAAAAUGCAUGAAAACAUUUCAAAAAAAACAUGAUUUUACCCUUCUAGAGGCUUCCGACAUCAGAGAUUCCACCGGACGGUAGGAAUUCCGAU